rnacentral:rRNA from 1 species
GAUGAACGCUGGCGGCGUGCCUAAUACAUGCAAGUCGAGCGAACGGACGAGAAGCUUGCUUCUCUGAUGUUAGCGGCGGACGGGUGAGUAACACGUGGAUAACCUACCUAUAAGACUGGGAUAACUUCGGGAAACCGGAGCUAAUACCGGAUGAUAUUUUGAACCGCAUGGUUCAAAAGUGAAAGACGGUCUUGCUGUCACUUAUAGAUGGAUCCGCGCUGCAUUAGCUAGUUGGUAAGGUAACGGCUUACCAAGGCAACGAUGCAUAGCCGACCUGAGAGGGUGAUCGGCCACCCUGGAACUGAGACACGGUCCAGACUCCUACGGGAGGCAGCAGUAGGGAAUCUUCCGCAAUGGGCGAAAGCCUGACGGAGCAACGCCGCGUGAGUGAUGAAGGUCUUCGGAUCGUAAAACUCUGUUAUUAGGGAAGAACAUAUGUGUAAGUAACUGUGCACAUCGUGACGGUACCUAAUCAGAAAGCCACGGCUAACUACGUG